rnacentral:misc_RNA from 1 species
AAACUACCCUAUGGGUUUACAAAUGGACUGAAGAGAAACUAGCGAUAAUGUGAAUCAAGAAUUCACUUAGGCCCAAACAUCACCCUCUUUUGAAUUGGUUACACAACAGUUAACAGGAAAAGCUCCACCAUCUUUUUAUUGGAGUGGAAAAACAUGGUGUAGAUCAUACUAGUAGUUCUAAUUAAUGACAGUAAAUACAUAACCCUAACUCCUAAAGACGUGCAAGAAAGUUGCACUGGUUUUUACUACACAUAUUUAGGUUUAGCACACUAUAGGAUAUACACAUGUAUUUAUGAAAUAAGGGAAACAAUUAAGAGGAAACCGGCGAUCAAGAAAAGCACCUUCAUAAAGAACUUAGUCCAAUCUAGGUGGUUAGAGUGAUGGAAACCAUGAGCAUAACCUCCAUGAAAUGAACCAGAAAAGAGGUAUGGAACUCCGCUAGUCGCCCCAUAAACAGUAGCAUCAUGAAAUCCAUGUACAUUAUUUAGACUAAACGAAGCUGGAAUAGCUCCAACAAGAGCAGAUAAUGUUGAGUUUUCAAACCUUGCACUCGGCAUGGGCAUGGACAUGAGUCCGCCUAUGGAAUCAAAUUCAUCAUGUCGGAGGUAGUCCAUAUCUACAGCUGGAGCGGUUUGAGGUCUCUGCCCCACUGGACGUUUAGGAAUAUUGAUUCCCGGUCUUAACCGAGAUCUUGGGUCAGAACUUGCUUUGCCUCGUCCAUAUAUUGGAACCAACUUGUGCUCUUCUAUGAGAGCCUUACAUAUUGGACACUCGUGGGAAUGUGAAUGAACUUGUAACCAUUCGUAAAGGCAUGGCCAACAAUAAAGGUGUCCACAAAGAGUCACUAUAGGAUCUUGAGCUAAUUCAAAGCAGAUAUUGCAUUCAAAAUCACCAGAGUCAGAAUUCAUAUCUGCUGAAUGCAAAGCACCCAAUGAUCCACCUGCCCUAUAAUCCAUAUCCCCAAACCAAGAAUCAAAAACCUGGAAUCAGAAGAGGAGGAAUGUUGAAGGAGCAAAUGGAUGACAGACACUACAUGAGAUGAAAAGGGAAUUUGGAAUGGGUUUGGCUAAUACCAUAAAGUGAUUUUUUUUUCUCAGCUCUAUUGUCGGUAGGUGCCUAAUUUUACUAUUACCUAUACUCCCUAAUGAUCUGCUUAGCUAGUUUUGUCAAUCUUAAUUAAUCAAACAUGGUCCCUCCAACGUUUUCGUGAACAUAA